AUGUGCCGGGCCAUGGUGUGGGGUCAGGCAGCCCUGGGGGUCAGGAUGGUGAGCUCAAGCAUCCUCAGUCCACCUGGGUUUUCCCGAAGCUCCUCGCCGGCCUGGGCGGCCUGGCCUGGUGUGGGCUGCGCUGUCCCAGAAGGCGUAGAGGAAGAAGAGCGGUUCCUGGGGGCAGGCCUUGGUCUCAGCCCGUGCCUGUCUGCACUUAGGUGGGACCUGGCCGCUGGCCUUGCUGUCUUUGACACCAUCAGGCACCUGACACCUGCCUGUCGGGGACCUGGCCGGGUGAAAAACGCUCUGGGCAUGGUGGCAAGCGACAGUGCAAACGCCCGAGCUUCCAUUUCAAGUUUAGAGGUGACAUGCAGGACUCUGCAUGGUGCCAAGGCAGGCAGAAAGGAGCAGAGGCCCACCCUGCCUGGGAGUGAGGGGACAAAGGCCAGCUCAGCCUACAAACCUGUUCCGUGUCUACACUGGGCCCAGGGCUCACCAAGCCCUGGGGACAGGGAGGAAGAAACUGGGACUGCUGGCCGUGGGCCUCAGCUUCCCUGCUAGGGGCGUGGGGUGGCUCCAGGGCCACUGCCUCUGAAGGGGGAGACCCCAGGGGCUCUGUUCAGGAGGCAGCAUGGUAGACGGUGCUGGCUGUCCCUCGGGGACAGGAGGGCUGUGGCCAAAGAGGCCUGGGCUAUGGGGUGAGGUCACCCAACCUUCCUCCCCCAGUGGUAUGUUUUUCCUGGUACUGGGGAUUGAACCUGGGAACUUCACACUGUGCUAAAUUCCCAACCUUUAAAAAUUUUUCAGUUGCUAAAUUGCCCAGGCUGGGCCCAAACAUGGGAUCCUCUUCCUCAGCCUCCCAGAGAGCUAUGAUCAUAGGUGUGGGACACCAUACCCAGCUCCUCCCUGGGCCUCAGCGGGGCUCUCUGUUCUGUUUUGUUUUGUUUUUUGUACCUGGGAUCGAACUCAGGACCUUGGACUUUUAAGCCAGGUCGGGGAACCACUGAGCUAAAUCCCCAGCACCUGAGGUUUC
rnacentral:lncRNA from 1 species